UGAAGCAAACUAAGCAGAAGAAAUCCAAGUCGGCUGAAUUUCUGAUGGUUAAAGAAGAUAGAGAAGCUACAGAAGGCACUGGAAAUCCAGCUUUUAACAUGAGCAGUCCAGAUCUCUCAGCAUGUCAGACUGCAGAAAAGAAAGUUAUUAGACACGACAUGCCGGAUCGCACCCUUGCAGCUCACCAACAAAAAUUCAGGCUGCCAGCCUCUGCAGAACCAAAAGGAAAUGAAUACGGCAGAAAUUACUUUGACCCACUGAUGGAUGAGGAAAUAAACCCAAGGCAGUGUGCGACGGAGGUCAGCAGAGAAGCUUUUUGAUGAGAGCAGACAAGGAGAACCCCAAGAUGAGAGUGGCCGGGAGGAGACUCUGAAUUCUGAAGCACCUGGGAGUUCCAAUAAGAGUCACGAAAUCCACAAAGAAGCCAGCGAAGCCACCACUGCUCACCUUGAGGAGUUCCAAAGAUCUCAGAAAACUAUAAUUCUGCUUGGAAGUUCUCCAUUAGAACAGGCCAGACUCCAAACAUCUAGGAAUGAAAAAUGCCCAUGGGCAUAAGUGUCCUGAACAUUCUUAUGGAUUUGGGAUUUGAAAUUCGAAGGGGAAGGCCUCAACGAAUACAUUCCUAUGUCACUUUUAAAGACUGGUAAAACAUUUGAGAAAACUCCAAGUCAACCAUUCAUUGCAGACCUAAAUAUUUGUAAAAAGGACAGUGCAGCCCAGCUUGGUACCCUCACAGAAGUAACUAAUGACUCAAAGGGAGCAGCAGGACCCCGCUGGAAGUUCCUGCGUAAUUCAAGAACCCCACCUUUUGUGGAAAAUGAGCAGUCUCAACCACCUCAGCCUCUGCAAAUCCAGAUCAGAUGCCUGAGGGGCCUUAAAGACAAGGCUCCUCCAGGCUCUUAUGUCCUCAAAGUGUCCAAGUGUCCCUGCUUGGUCGACUGGGAGGCUGUGUCUUGCAGUGGUGGCAAACGGA
ensembl:lncRNA novel transcript